CAAUAGCGUAUAUUUAAGUUGUUGCAGUUAAAAAGCUCGUAGUUGGAUUUUGGGUCGGGGGCACCGGUCCGCCGUUCCGGUGUGCACUGGUGGCCCCUUCCUUUCUGCCGGGGACGUGCGUCGCACUUAAUUGGGUGGCGUUCGGAGUCGGCGUUGUUACUUUGAAAAAAUUAGAGUGUUCAAAGCAAGCCAUCGCUCUGAAUACAUUAGCAUGGAAUAACAUGAUAGGACUCUGGUCUUAUUUUGUUGGUUUCCGAGACUGGAGUAAUGAUUAAGAGAGACAGUCGGGGGCAUCCGUAUUUCAUUGUCAGAGGUGAAAUUCUUGGAUUUAUGAAAGACGAACUUCUGCGAAAGCAUUUGCCAAGGAUGUUUUCAUUAA
rnacentral:rRNA from 1 species